rnacentral:rRNA from 1 species
UACGUAGGGCGCAAGCGUUGUCCGGAAUUAUUGGGCGUAAAGAGCUCGUAGGCGGCUUGUCACGUCGAUUGUGAAAGCCCGAGGCUUAACCUCGGGUCUGCAGUCGAUACGGGCUAGCUAGAGUGUGGUAGGGGAGAUCGGAAUUCCUGGUGUAGCGGUGAAAUGCGCAGAUAUCAGGAGGAACACCGGUGGCGAAGGCGGAUCUCUGGGCCAUUACUGACGCUGAGGAGCGAAAGCCAGGGGAGCGAACGGG